CUACGGGACGCUGCAGUGAGGAAUAUUGCACAAUGGGGGGAACCCUGAUGCAGCAACGCCGCGUGGAGGAUGACGCAUUUCGGUGUGUAAACUCCUUUUAUAUGUCAAGAAAAUGACGGUAGCAUAUGAAUAAGCACCGGCUAACUCCGUGCCAGCAGCCGCGGUAAUACGGAGGGUGCAAGCGUUACUCGGAAUGACUGGGCGUAAAGGACGUGUAGGCGGGUUGGAAAGUCAGGUGUGAAAUCCUACAGCUUAACUGUAGAACUGCACUUGAAACUUCUAAUCUAGAGUAUGGGAGGGGGAGAUGGAAUUAGUGGUGUAGGGGUAAAAUCCGUAGAUAUCACUAGGAAUACCUAAAGCGAAGGCGAUCUCCUGGAACAUUACUGACGCUAAGGCGUGAAAGCGUGGGGAGCAAACAGGAUUAGAUACCCCGGUAGUC
rnacentral:rRNA from 1 species